rnacentral:rRNA from 1 species
UACGGAGGUGGCAAGCGUUGUUCGGAAUUACUGGGCGUAAAGGGCGCGUAGGCGGCAAGGCAAGUCAGGUGUGAAAGCCCCGAGCUUAACUCGGGAAUUGCAUCUGAAACUGCUGUGCUUGAGUUCUGGAGGGGGUAGUGGAAUUCCCAGUGUAGCGGUGAAAUGCGUAGAUAUUGGGAGGAACACCUGCGGCGAAGGCGACUUCCUGGCCUGUUCUUGACGCUGAGGCGCGAAAGCUAGGGGAGCAAACGGG